GGGGUUGUAGUUUAGUGGUAGAGCGCCUGCUUUGCACGCAGGAGAACCGGGUUCGAUUCCUGGCAACUCCA
rfam:Ordospora colligata OC4 contig_02, whole genome shotgun sequence.